UAUACAUCAUUUGCAUAUCAAGUACGAGUUCGAAACUCAUCACCUUAGUGCGGGGCGCAGAUCUUCGCAUCUGAACCUUGUGGACUUAAGGAUUGCUUGCAGCUGCAUAAGGUGUUGGGCCUCUACAGUUGGUUCACUCGAAGUCCUAUGCUGAUCUAUUUCUCUGAAAAUGCUAGCUCGCAUAGAAACUACUGAAGAUGGU
rnacentral:lncRNA from 1 species